rnacentral:rRNA from 1 species
UACGUAGGGCGCAAGCGUUGUCCGGAAUUAUUGGGCGUAAAGAGCUCGUAGGCGGUCUGUCGCGUCGGCUGUGAAAACCCGGAGCUCAACUCCGGGCCUGCAGUCGAUACGGGCAGACUGGAGUUCGGCAGGGGAGACUGGAAUUCCUGGUGUAGCGGUGAAAUGCGCAGAUAUCAGGAGGAACACCGGUGGCGAAGGCGGGUCUCUGGGCAGUAACUGACGCUGAGGAGCGAAAGCGUGGGGAGCGAACAGG